UACGGAGGAUGCGAGCGUUAUCCGGAUUUAUUGGGUUUAAAGGGUGCGUAGGCGGAACAUUAAGUCAGCGGUAAAAUCGAGGGGCUCAACCCCUUUAAGCCGUUGAAACUGGCAGACUUGAGUUGGCGAGAAGUACGCGGAAUGCGCGGUGUAGCGGUGAAAUGCAUAGAUAUCGCGCAGAACUCCGAUUGCGAAGGCAGCGUACCGGCGCCAGACUGACGCUGAGGCACGAAAGCGUGGGGAGCAAACAGG
rnacentral:rRNA from 1 species